UACGGAGGGGGCUAGCGUUGUUCGGAAUUACUGGGCGUAAAGCGCACGUAGGCGGCUUUGUAAGUUAGAGGUGAAAGCCCGGGGCUCAACUCCGGAAUUGCCUUUAAGACUGCAUCGCUAGAAUUGUGGAGAGGUAAGUGGAAUUCCGAGUGUAGAGGUGAAAUUCGUAGAUAUUCGGAAGAACACCAGUGGCGAAGGCGACUUACUGGACACAUAUUGACGCUGAGGUGCGAAAGCGCGGGGAGCAAACAGG
rnacentral:rRNA from 1 species